UUACACAUGCAAGUCGAACGGUAACAGGCCGCAUGGUGCUGACCAGUGGCGAACGGGUGAGUAAUGCAUCGGAACGUGCCCAGUACUGUGGGAUAGCCCGGCGAAAGCCGGAUUAAUACCGCAUACGACCUGAGGGUGAAAGGGGGGGAUCGCAAGACCUCUCGCUAUUGGAUCGGCCGAUGUCAGAUUAUUUAGUUGGUGGGGGAAAGGCCUACCAAGGCAACGAUCUGUAGUUGGUCUGAAAGGACGACCACCCUCACUGGGACUGAGACACGGCCCACACUCCUACGGGAGGCAGGAGUGGUUAAUUUUGGACAAUGGGCGCAUGCCUGAUCCAUCCCUGCCGCGUGCAGGAAGAAGGCCUUCGGGUUGUAAACUGUUUUUGUCAGGAAAGAAAUCUUCUGGGUUAAUACCUCGGNAGGAUGUCGGUACCUGAAGAAUAACCACCGGCUAACUACUUGCCAGCAGCCGCGGUA
rnacentral:rRNA from 1 species